rnacentral:rRNA from 1 species
GAUGAACGCUGGCGGCGUGCCUAACACAUGCAAGUCGAGCGACCAGACGAGGAGUUUCCUCCGGUGACGUUAGGGGCGGGCGGGUGAGAAACACGUGGACAACCCCUCUAUAAGGGUGUAGCCACGUCAAGACAGGGGAGCUACUACCGGCGAAUCUCGUGUACCGCAUGGUUCCAUAGUGAAAGCCCGCUUUGCUGUUAGUUAUUGGCGGAUCCGCGGCGCAUUAGCUAGUUGGUAAGGUAACGGCUUACCAAGGCAACGGUGCGUAGCCGGCCUGAGAGGGUGAUCAGCCACACUGGAACUGAGACACGGUCCAGACUCCUACGGGAGGCAGCAGUAGGGAAUCUUGCGCAAUGGGCGAAAGCUUGACGCAGCAACGCCGCGUGGGGGAAGAAGGUCUUCGGGUUGUAAAACCCUGUUAGUAGGGAAGAACAAACGUGGAAGUAAAUAUGCACGGCUUGACGGUACCUAAACAAAAAGCCACGGCUAACUACGUG